CCUCCCUCAGCGCCCUCGGGUACCACAGAGCGGGUGAUGGGUUAGGCUGAGCAGGAGGGAGGCCUUGGCACCGCACAGGCAGCACGGGGCAGGGUAUCACCCUGAGAUGUGGCAGCCAAACGCAUCUCCUCAUCACCAUGGCUCCCUGUUAUUAGGUGCUGCUGCUGGGAUCCCUGGUCAGGCAGGAUUCCAGCGUUUAAGGGCCAUCGGAACAAAAUGUCUCUCCUCAUCCUGGAGGAGUUCGCAAUCAUCAAGGUGAUUUGCCUGGGUUUUAAGUUAGGGAUGUGCCUGAGAGUCUCUGUGGCAGAGAAGUUGAGGCUCGUAUGGGAGGGGCUUUUCCCAGGGAUGGUUUGCUGGUGUCUGGCAAAGCUUGGAUGGAAGCCUGGGAAUCCUCCUUCUCUUUGCCAGGCUUUGAUGCUUGGGCUCUUUGCCUUUAAUCUUUGGCAUCUUUGCAGACAAUAUCAGAGCUAUCAAAGAAUUCUACCGCAAUGUGAGCCAUGAGACUGCUGGGAAAAGUACAGGGCUACAUCACUUGUCUGAAAGUCAACAACUGCAUGAAGCCAAUUGCUUUGUAAUGAUUUGUAUUUGUUAUGAGGGCGGGUUCAGGAGAUACACAGGCUUUGGGCUGGGAGCACAUUUCAUACUGGGUAAGGCAUCACAGCCCUCCCAUACAACAGGGUUUGUGGAGGCUGCUUAUAAAGGUAGGACCUGAAUCAGUAAAUCCAUUGAUAUCUGGAGACAUAGUUAGAGAUGAGCUGGGUUUUUACUGCUUUCUGUUUCUCACUUUAUUGGGAUAGAGCCCAGCCUGCUAGAUAUUUACUAUCGGCCAAGCUGGGAUGCUGAAUGCUGGAAGCAGCUGAAGAAUCCAGCCUGGUCCCUCACGCAUCCCAUUCCCUGAGCACACUCUGACACACGUGUCCAUCUUUCCCUUCCAUCACUAGCAAAAGGACAAACGAGCCCUGUGUUUGUGCUGUGGGAGGAGGCUGUGUGUUAUCUGGGAUGAUUCACCCUGAUAAAUAACCUCCUCGGAGGCCUGCUCUUGUUUAUAGCAACAGCCCCAAAUGCUGAAGAUGACAGCGAUUUUCAUGCGUGCUCUUCUCAUGCAUAUUUACCCAGCAGUUUUAUCAGAAUUAUCUCAAGCAAACCUCAGUGUUUUUAUGAUUAAUUGACUAAUGGUAAAAAUAAAGGCGUUUGGAGAGGUGCCCAGUGAGCAGUGUGUAAUAUAGCAACCAGAGCCGGAGUCUCAGGGGAUUGUUUCUGGGAAAAUCCACAUUGGUUUAAAGGGACAGUGCUCCUUCCGCUCCCAGAGCGGGUGAGUUACUCUGAGCCCCACAGCACAGGGCAUCCCCAUCUAUCCACCAUCCCACUGGCUUUAUAUUACUUUCCAAUCCAUCCACUAAGGAGCUGUGUGUGGAUGUGAACAGGGCACUGACAUACUGAUUCUCCUUACCCCAGGCUCAAAUGCUGUUGAUUUCUCCUCUGCCUCAGCCCCACUGUACCCACCUCACCUCUGCUCCAUGAACCUUAGCUCCAUGCUCUCCCUGACCUAAGCCUUUCCUGAUGCUGCUCUCCAGUUGCUGCCACCACUUCCUCAGUUUUUGCUGGCUCAGGGCAUUGUUUUAUCAGGCUGGGAUAGUUUUAUCAGUCUGGGCUCUGCAGUUCAGCCUGAGCCUCACCUCUGCUGUCAUUGGAGAAGUGUGUCACACUGGGAUCUCUGCCCUGCUCACCUUGGGGCUGUGAGUGUGCAGGACCAGAGAUGGUUUUCCUUGCCUCCUCUCUUUGAGGACUGAGAUAAAGCAGCAGGGGUAGAAAUAAGGCAAGAUGAAUUCGAAGGGACAAAACACAGUGAGGUGAAGCGAGAUGGAUUCUGUAAUGCACUUGGUGAGCCAUCAAAUCCUCUCUCAUAUCCCAGGGGAAUCCCAGAUCCCCGAACAAAUCAUCAAGCCCUGCAAACUACAUCAUCAGCAUCUUCCUCUGGAAAACAUCAUCAUGUUAAUCCAUUUGUCCUGGCAGCCAGAUGAUUGAGGUUUGAAAACUAAAUGACACACGUUUGCUGCAACAGCAUAAACGCAAUAAUGGCUCUCCUCCAUUACACUUGUAACCUGGUUAUAAUGGCUUUAAUGAGCUUUCAGCCUCGUCAGCCAAAAAGAAAGAUUAUCACAUGUUGCUUUAUAUUAUAAAGUGUCCUUUGUGCUGCUGGUGGCUGAGUACCUGCAGUCACCCACUGCAUGGGGUGCCCGUGGUUGGUGGGUGCCUAUCCCAAAGCUGGGGGGCUCCCAAAACGGGGCAGGACAUGGCAGUGGUGUGAGCCCCAUAGGCUGCUGGACACCCUGUGAGGGGAACAGGUACCUGUCCCCAUUACACAGGAUUAUCCUACGGUGUGGAGUUACUCCAACCAUGUGUCUUCCCAGCUUAACUUAAUAACAGGCUGUGAGCUCUACUUUGAUGUGCUCCUGUUUUUCACUAGUACCAUAUUUAACUGGACUCAUCAUCAUAAACUGGAACUGUUUCACUUUCAGUGCCAGGCUGGGCUUCCUGUUGGACUGGCAAAGGACACACCUGCACGACCACAUGUGCUGACAGUACCUGCUGGCAAUAACCUCUUAGAUGGCAACAGGAAAAAGAAAAACCCCAGAAGAAUGCUUUGCCAAAACAGGCUUGACAAACUUUAAAGACACACUGGAGGAGGUGGAGGUAAUUUGGGUGAGCAUUAGGUGAUUUCAUCCUGUCCCUCGGCAGGGAUCUGCUCCAGGACUGUGAUGUAGCUAUGGCAGCAUGCUGCAUUUGUGGGAUGCUCAGCUGUUUAUGUGUGGUUUUCUUAAGAAAUAAAGUUAAAACUGUCCCUUUGC